GACGAACGCUGGCGGCGUGCUUAACACAUGCAAGUCGAACGGAAAGGCCCUGCUUGCAGGGUACUCGAGUGGCCAACGGGUGAGUAACACGUGGGUGGUCUGCCCUGCACUUCGGGAUAAGCCUGGUAAACUGGGUCUAAUACCUGACAGGUGCCAUUUUUAGUGUGAUGGUUGGAAAGUUUUUUCGGUGUUGGGUGAGCUCGCGGCCUAUCAGCUUGUUGGUGGGGUAAUGGCCUACCAAGGCGGCGACGGGUAGCCGGCCUGAGAGGGUGGACGGCCACACUGAGACUGAGGGACGGCCCAGACUGCGACGGGAGGCAGAAGGGGGGAAGAUUGCAGAAGGGGCGCAAGCCUGAUGCAGCGGGGCUGCGGGGGGUAUGACGGCCUUCGGGUGGAAAACUCAUUUCGCUAGGGACGAAGCAUUUUGUGACGGUACCUAGAUAAGAAGCACCGGCUAACUACGUG
rnacentral:rRNA from 1 species